AGCUGAAUGCUUAAUAAUUGUAGUUAGUAUGAAACUAAGUUAGUGAUAAGUUUAGUUCUAAGUCUAAUGACAACUAAUGAGCAAAACAAACACAGCCACAAAUAGUCACGGGGAGAUCACAGUAACCGUUACCGUUAUCCACCACAUUUUGAAGUCCCAAGUUCCAAACGGCCGGACAUGCGAGCAAACGGAUUCCGGCGUGUGACACAAACGACACGAGUUCCAAACGGCUAGAUAAUAAGAUCAAUAACCAUAUCUUAUUUCACAAUGAGAAUAUACAUGAACUAAUCUAAUGUUAAUCAACCAAACAACAAAUCAAUCAAUCGAUCAAUAAUAUCUAAUUAUUUGUAACGCUCACAAAUUUUCAGUUAGUUUAGGCACGCGUCGGCGCUGUCGUCUGUAUAACGGAAACACAAAUGUCAAUCAGGCUCAUAGAGAAAUAUACGUUUCGGUCUCCCCUAGCCACAACUUAUUGAUAUACCAA